rnacentral:rRNA from 1 species
AUUGAACGCUGGCGGCAGGCCUAACACAUGCAAGUCGAACGGUAACAGGAAGCAGCUUGCUGCUUUGCUGACGAGUGGCGGACGGGUGAGUAAUGUCUGGGAAACUGCCUGAUGGAGGGGGAUAACUACUGGAAACGGUAGCUAAUACCGCAUAACGUCGCAAGACCAAAGAGGGGGACCUUCGGGCCUCUUGCCAUCGGAUGUGCCCAGAUGGGAUUAGCUAGUAGGUGGGGUAACGGCUCACCUAGGCGACGAUCCCUAGCUGGUCUGAGAGGAUGACGACCCACAUGGAACUGGAGCACCGUCCCAGAUUCUAAGGGGAGGAACAGUGGGGAAUUUUGGACAAAGGGGGGAAAGCUGGUUGAAGCAAGGCGCGGGUAAUGAAGAAGGCUUCCGGUUGUAAAGUACUUUCAGCGGGGAGGAAGGGAGUAAAGUUAAUACCUUGGCUCAUUGACGUUACCCGCAGAAGAAGCACCGGCUAACUCCGUG